rnacentral:rRNA from 1 species
AUGCUCAAGGACAUGAUCAUGCAACUUUUUGGAAAUGAAGAAUUGAAGCAAUAUUUGAAGGAACUUGAGGGUAAAAUAGUGCAAGUAGAUGAUCUGACCAGCUACCUCAUGGAAAAGCUACUGGAUAAGAGGUACUUUAUUGUUCUUGAUGACUUGUGGUCCGUAGAUGCCUGGAGGUUGAUAAAAGAUAUUGCUAUUCCCAGUAGUAACAUCAAAGGUAGUCGGAUAAUAGUAACAACACGCGACAUUGGCCUAGCUCAUGAGUGUACUACCGAGUCUCAUAUUUACCACCUUAAGCCCCUGCAAAUAGAAGAAGCCACGAAUCUGCUACUCAGAAAGACAGGGAAGACACGCAAAGACAUAGAAAAUGAUGAGGACAUGAGGACGAUGGUUUCUAAAGUAGUAAAAAAGUGUGGUUGUUUACCGCUGGCUAUACUUGCCAUAGGAGGCAUGCUUGCUACCAAAGCAAUCGAAAUGUGGGAAAGCAUAUAUAAGGAAAUCCCAUUCGAGCUUGAGAGUAACCCAAGCCUUGAAGCAAUGAGGAGGAUGGUUACUCUAAGUUACAACCACAUGCCAUCUCAUCUUAAAUCAUGCUUUCUGUAUUUAAGCAUCUUUCCGGAGGAUUUUGAAAUCAAGAGAAGUCAUUUGGUCAAUUGA